GACAGAGGUGCCGAGCGUUAGGCGGAAUCACUGGGCUUAAAGCGUGUGUAGGCGGACUCGUAAGUGCUUUGUGAAAUCCCACGGCUCACCCGUGGAACUGCUUGGCAUACUGCGAGCCUUGAGCCACUUAGGGGCAACCGGAACAAACGGUGGAGCGGUGAAAUGCGUAGAUAUCGUUUGGAACGCCAAUGGUGAAAACAGGUUGCUGGGAGUGCGCUGACGCUGAGGCGCGAAAGCUAGGGGUAGCAAACAGG
rnacentral:rRNA from 1 species